rnacentral:rRNA from 1 species
GACGUAGGUGGCGAACGUUAUCCGGAAUUAUUGGGCGUAAAGGGUGCGUAGAUGGCUUGAUAAGUUAGCAGUGGGAAAUCGAGGCUCAACCUCGUGGAAGCUGGUAAUACUGUCAGGCUCGAGUGCAGGAGAGGUUAACGGAACUCCAUGUGGAGCGGUAAAAUGUGUAGAGAUCCGGAGGAACACCAAAGGCGAAGGCAGUGUCCUGGGGAGUACCUGACGCUCAGGUGCGAAAGCCAGGGGAGCGAACGGG